UUUCCUUUUGUUAAGCGAUUAAUUAGGACAGAUAAGAUCAGUAACAAUGUCAUUUCCAUUUUAAUGACAGUCUUUAAAAUAAGAAGUAGGUGCCCAUUCUGUUCCUAUCUUCAGAAGUUAUUUAUACCUAUGCAAUACCUUCGCUCAGGUUAAAGAAUGGAAUACUAGUCUUGCAUCAAAUAUAUUUUACAUAUCCAUUCGAUGUUUAUCAUCAGAAGUUAGUUCUACCUUUGCAGUGCCUCUGCUCUACAUACCUCCUCGUUGGUUAAAGAAUGGAAUAUAAAUCUCAUAUCAAGUUGGUGUAAAAAUUUAGUUCAAUAAAUUAAGAAUUUGUAAACGUUAUCAAAAUUUUGAGUGGAGUAAUUGUUUUUCUGGUUUAGCAUGAGUAUGAAUCUGAUAUCAAUUGGAUGUACAAAGAUAGUUUACUACUUAAAGACCCUAUCAGUGAACCAACUGAUUAUUAAACAGUUUUUAA
rnacentral:misc_RNA from 1 species